rnacentral:rRNA from 1 species
AGUGAACGCUGGCGGUAGGCCUAACACAUGCAAGUCGAACGGCAGCACAGUAAGAGCUUGCUCUUACGGGUGGCGAGUGGCGGACGGGUGAGGAAUACAUCGGAAUCUACUUUUUCGUGGGGGAUAACGUAGGGAAACUUACGCUAAUACCGCAUACGACCUACGGGUGAAAGCAGGGGAUCUUCGGACCUUGCGCGAUUGAAUGAGCCGAUGUCGGAUUAGCUAGUUGGCGGGGUAAAGGCCCACCAAGGCGACGAUCCGUAGCUGGUCUGAGAGGAUGAUCGGCCACACUGGAACUGAGACACGGUCCAGACGCCUACGGGAGGCAGCAGUGGGGAAUAUUGGACAAUGGGCGCAAGCCUGAUCCAGCCAUACCGCGUGGGUGAAGAAGGCCUUCGGGCUGUAAAGCCCUUUUGUUGGGAAAGAAAAGCAGCAGGUUAAUACCCCGCUGUUCUGACGGUACCCAAAGAAUAAGCACCGGCUAACUUCGUG